rnacentral:tRNA from 2 species
ACCUGGCUGGCUCAGUCAGAAGAGCAUGAGACUCUUGAUCUCAGGGUUGUGGGUUCGAGCCCCAUGUUGGGUA